CUGAGUUUAAAUGUAUUUGGCUAAGGUGUAUGUAAACUUCCGACUUCAACUGUAUCUGCCAUAGAGCUCAACAAUUCACACACCAAAAUGAAAAUGGAAUCAGCUUGAAUUCAGCUUAAUGUCCUAGUAUGAAGCAUUCAGUCAUUAUCAGACUGCUCACAUAGUAGCACUGAUUACAUCCCUUUCCCUAGAUGUACAUUAGUAAUGAAUGUGAUGAACAGUCAUUGCAAUACGAUAUAUGGUAUUUGAUGGAAUAAUGUAAUGUGACAGAAAUUGGAUUGAAUGUAACUGUAAUAACUCAUACAUUUUGUUAUACAUUAUCAUUAUUCAUUACUCUCCAUCUUGGAAAAUGGCUGAUCAGGAGCAAUACCAUAGCCCUCCAACAAUAUAUAUGCCAUAUAGCUCAACAUUUCACAUAGCCCUCCAACAAUAUAUAUGCCAUAUAGUUCAACAUUUCACAUAGCCCUCCCACAAUAUAUCUGCCAUAUAGUUCAACAUUUCACAUAGCCCUCCCACAAUAUAUCUGUCAUAGAUCUCAACAUUUCACACUCCAAAAUUAACACGGAAUCAGCUUGAAUUCAGUUUGAUGUCCUAAUAUGAAGCAUUCAGACAUUCUAAGGCUGCUCACAUAGUAGCACUGAUUACAUCCCUUUCCCUAGAUGUACAUUUGUAAUGAAUGUGAUGAACAGUCAUUCCAAUAUGAUGUAUGGUAUUUCAUUAAAUGAUGUAAUGAGACAGAAAUUCUAUGAACAAUUAUAACUAAUGCAUUUUGUUUUACAUGAUCAUUAUUCAUGACUCUCCAUCUUGGAUAAUGGAUGAUCUGAAGACCGUUCAGACUAUUUACAACAUGAGACCCAGGAGAACAAGUUGAAGAGGGAGGCAUCAGCUGUUGAGCUUGAGUUGAAGAUGGAAAAAGAAUUAAAAGAGAUAUUAAGAGAUGAGAUGAUGAAACAACUAGAGGAGAAA